UCCGAUGUUAAUCUUGCUUUAGCUUUUU
rnacentral:piRNA from 1 species